rnacentral:rRNA from 1 species
AUGAACGCUGGCGGCGUGCCUAAUCCAUGCAAGUCGAGCGAACAGAUGAGGAGCUUGCUCCUCUGACGUUAGCGGCGGACGGGUGAGUAACACGUGGAUAACCUACCUAUAAGACUGGGAUAACUUCGGGAAACCGGAGCUAAUACCGGAUAAUAUAUUGAACCGCAUGGUUCAAUAGUGAAAGACGGUUUUGCUGUCACUUAUAGAUGGAUCCGCGCCGCAUUAGCUAGUUGGUAAGGUAACGGCUUACCAAGGCAACGAUGCGUAGCCGACCUGAGAGGGUGAUCGGCCACACUGGAACUGAGACACGGUCCAGACUCCUACGGGAGGCAGCAGUAGGGAAUCUUCCGCAAUGGGCGAAAGCCUGACGGAGCAACGCCGCGUGAGUGAUGAAGGUCUUCGGAUCGUAAAACUCUGUUAUUAGGGAAGAACAAAUGUGUAAGUAACUAUGCACGUCUUGACGGUACCUAAUCAGAAAGCCACGGCUAACUACGU